rnacentral:SRP_RNA from 1 species
GCUGGGCCUGGUGGUGCAUGCCUGUUGUUCCUGCUACAAGAACGACAGGAGGCUGAGGCAGGAGGAUCACUUGAGCCCAGGAGUUCUGGACUGUAAAGGUUAUGCCGAUUGGGUGUCCACACUAAGUUCAGCAUCAACUUGGUGAUCUCCUGGGAGCAGGGGAUGACCAGGUUGCCUAAGGAGGGGUGUGCUGGCCCAGGUCGGAAGUGGAGCAGGUCAAAAUUCCCAUGCUGAUCAGUAGUGGGAUUGUGCCUUUGAAUAACCGCUAUACUCUAGCCUGGGCAACAUAGUGAGAUCCCCAACUCU